rnacentral:rRNA from 1 species
UACGUAGGAGGCAAGCGUUGUCCGGAAUCAUUGGGCGUAAAGAGCGUGUAGGCGGUUCGGUAAGUCGGCUGUGAAAGUCCAGGGCUCAACCCUGGGAUGCCGGUCGAUGCUGCCGGACUAGAGUUCGGAAGAGGCGAGUGGAAUUCCCGGUGUAGCGGUGAAAUGCGCAGAUAUCAGGAAGGACACCCGUGGCGAAGGCGGCUCUCUGGGACGGUACUGACGCUGAGACGCGAAAGCGUGGGGAGCGAACAGG